UGACUUCUGCUCAGAUGUGGAUCAAGACUGGCUGCAGGAAAACCUCCCAGAGCCACCCGGAAUACUUUUAUAGCACAUGGGUCAAAAGGCGUGGAGCAGCCAGGAAGUCUGGCCCAAGACCCACCCAUCUCAACAGCAAAUCUUUGAAACGCCCUCCUUGCGGAGCGGGCUGCAUCGGGAGCUGGCGAGAACACCCUAGGAGGAAGCAGCUACAAUAAACCCCCAAGACUUGUUGUCCCUGGGAAACCAAUAAUGGCCAUUAACAGGUCUCCGUUCUAUUCAAAGACCCAUUCCCUGGACUCCUGGAGAGUUGGUUCAGAACCCCGAAAAUGCCAUGGAAGCUGCUGCAGAGUCAGCUUCCCACUGUAGCCCACUCUGAACAGCAGUAGCUUUUCAAGGUUACAGAUGCCUUGAGAUCCAGUCUUCAAGCUCGAAAUUCCCAUGGCUGAACCUUGGAUGGACAAGAACCAGCAAGGGGGAAACUGGUUAAGGCAGUG